rnacentral:rRNA from 1 species
GACGAACGCUGGCGGCGUGCCUAAUACAUGCAAGUCGAACGGACAGGCCCUGCUUUUGUGGGGUGCUCGAUUGGCGAACGGGUGAGUAACACGUGAGUAACCUGCCCUUGACUUUGGGAUAACUUCAGGAGACUGGGGCUCAUACCGGAUAUGAGCUCUUGCUGCAUGGUGGGGGUUGGUAAGUUUCGGCGGUUCGGGAUAGUCUCGAUGCUUACGAGCUUGUUGGUGGGGUAGUGGCUUACAAAGCUUUCGACGGGUAGCCGGCCUGAGAGGGUGACCGGCCACAUGAGGACUGAGAUACGGCCCAGUCGCCUACGGGAGGCAGCAGGGGGGAAUAUGGCACAAUGGGCGGAAGCCAGAUGCAGCAACGCCGCGUGCGGGAUGACGGCCUUCGAGUUGUAAACCGCUGUCGCCUGUGACGAAGCGUGAGUGACGGUAAUGGGUAAAGAAGCACCGGCUAACUACGUG